AGCGAACGCUGGCGGCAGGCCUAACACAUGCAAGUCGAACGAACUCUUCGGAGUUAGUGGCGGACGGGUGAGUAACACGUGGGAACGUGCCUUUUGGUUCGGAAUAACUCAGGGAAACUUGUGCUAAUACCGAAUGUGCCCUUCGGGGGAAAGAUUUAUCGCCAUUAGAGCGGCCCGCGUCUGAUUAGCCAGUUGGUGAGGUAACGGCUCACCAAGGCGACGAUCAGUAGCUGGUCUGAGAGGAUGACCAGCCACACUGGGACUGAGACACGGCCCAGACUCCUACGGGAGGCAGCAGUGGGGAAUCUUGCGCAAUGGGCGAAAGCCUGACGCAGCCAUGACGCGUGAAUGAUGAAGGUCUUAGGAUUGUAAAAUUCUUUCACCGGGGACGAUAAUGACGGUACCCGGAGAAGAAGCCCCGGCUAACUUCGUG
rnacentral:rRNA from 1 species